GGACCAAUAUGUCGGUCGUGCCUUGGUACGUACUGGCAUUAUUGGUUUCUCCCUUCUGAAGAACCUUGAUGUCAUUAAUUUGGUGUCUUGGGGAAUCAGAACUGUUACUUUGAAAAAAUUAGAGUGUUUAAAGCAGGCUAAAGCUUGAAUAGAUUAGCAUGGAAUAACGAAAUAGGACGUUUGAUCUUAUUUUGUUGGUUUCUAAGAUCGACGUA
rnacentral:rRNA from 1 species